rnacentral:rRNA from 1 species
UACCAGCACCCCGAGUGGUCGGGACGUUUAUUGGGCCUAAAGCAUCCGUAGCCGGUUCUACAAGUCUUCCGUUAAAUCCAACUGCUUAACAGGUGGGCUGCGGAAGAUACUAUAGAGCUAGGAGGCGGGAGAGGCAAGCGGUACUCGAUGGGUAGGGGUAAAAUCCGUUGAUCCAUUGAAGACCACCAGUGGCGAAGGCGGCUCUCUGGACCAGCACUGACACUGAGGCACGAAAGCGUGGGGAGCAAACAGG